rnacentral:tRNA from 1 species
GCUCCUGUAGUUCAAUGGAUAGAACAUCGGUUUCCGGAGCCGAGGAUGUGGGUUCGAUUCCCGCCGGGAGUACCA